rfam:TPA: Bos taurus chromosome 23, whole genome shotgun sequence.
UCCCUGGUUGUCCAGUGGCUAAGACUCUGCGCUUUCAAUGCAGAGGGCCCAGGUUCCAUCCCUGGCUGGGGAA